GUGGGGAAUAUUGGACAAUGGGCGAAAGCCUGAUCCAGCCAUGCCGCGUGUGUGAAGAAGGUCUUCGGAUUGUAAAGCACUUUAAGUUGGGAGGAAGGGCAGUAAGUUAAUACCUUGCUGUUUUGACGUUACCGACAGAAUAAGCACCGGCUAACUUCGUGCCAGCAGCCGCGGUAAUACGAAGGGUGCAAGCGUUAAUCGGAAUUACUGGGCGUAAAGCGCGCGUAGGUGGUUUUGUAAGUUGGAGGUGAAAACCCCGGGCUCAACCUGGGAACUGCCUCCAAAACUGCAUGACUAGAGUACGGUAGAGGGUAGUGGAAUUUCCUGUGUAGCGGUGAAAUGCGUAGAUAUAGGAAGGAACACCAGUGGCGAAGGCGACUACCUGGACUGAUACUGACACUGAGGUGCGAGAGCGUGGGGAGCAAACAGGAUUAGAAACCCUUGUAGUCC
rnacentral:rRNA from 1 species